rnacentral:rRNA from 1 species
GACGAACGCUGGCGGCGUGCCUAAUACAUGCAAGUCGAACGAACCGCGACUAGGUGCUUGCACUUGGUCAAAGUGAGUGGCGAACGGGUGAGUAACACGUGGGUAACCUACCUCAUAGUGGGGGAUAACAGUCGGAAACGACUGCUAAUACCGCAUAGGACAUAGGAUCACAUGAUUCUGUGAGGAAAGGUGGCGCAAGCUAUCGCUAAGAGAUGGACCCGCGGUGCAUUAGCUAGUUGGUAGGGUAAAGGCCUACCAAGGCGAUGAUGCAUAGCCGACCUGAGAGGGUGAUCGGCCACAUUGGGACUGAGACACGGCCCAAACUCCUACGGGAGGCAGCAGUAGGGAAUCUUCCGCAAUGGACGCAAGUCUGACGGAGCAACGCCGCGUGAGUGAAGAAGGUCUUCGGAUCGUAAAGCUCUGUUGUUAGAGAAGAACAGCGCAUAGAGUAACUGUUAUGCGUGUGACGGUAUCUAACCAGAAAGCCACGGCUAACUACGUG